GGUACUUGUGUCUGAAGCUUCUCAGUGGAGAAAAUCAUCCAGACCAUUCUUCAUGAUGAAGGGUUUCGCUUUGGCUCUCUUGGCUGUCCUGUCGGUGGGCGUGGCAACUGGAAAACCUCAACGCAACUCAAACAACUGCACACACUGGUGCUUAGACAGCUUCGGUCGUUUCACCUGCUGCGAAAAUCUCCCGAAAUGCCCUGUCGAUAAUCGGCAACCAGGAGACUGCGGCCGUCCACUGCCAUUUGCGCAUGCGCCGGUCGUUUCUGGUCCAUUCGAAUGCGCAGAUGACAGCGAUUGUGGACGUGGAGCCAUUUGCUGCCCAGACAAAUGCAUUGGUCACAACGUCUGCAAAAAUGUAAGACAUCGCGGCAAGUAGGUUCCGGGACUGACAAAGGCAGACGUUCAACAUUGAUUUUCAAAAUUAGGCCUCGGUUUUAACCCUUGCAUUGAUUGUAUUCCUGUUAGAGAAAAUGUGAUAAGAAAAUUGUAAUGAAAAAAUGCACGUCUUUCCGUUUCAUCACAAUCCCUGUCAUUGCUGUUACUUGACUUUUAUAUAGUAUUUGAGAGAAUACAUUUACUCCUGUAAAGCCUAAUUAGACACCUUAUGCUUGAUUUCGUAUCGGGUAAAAUCCUAGCACUUUAAAUAAGAAUAAAAUUG